rnacentral:siRNA from 1 species
AGACUCCCUGGAGUAAAAGACGUU